UGGGGAAUAUUGCACAAUGGGGGAAACCCUGAUGCAGCGACGCCGCGUGAGUGAGGAAGUAUUUCGGUAUGUAAAACUCUAUCAGCAGGGAAGAUAAUGACGGUACCUGACUAAGAAGCACCGGCUAAAUACGUGCCAGCAGCCGCGGUAAUACGUAUGGUGCAAGCGUUAUCCGGAUUUACUGGGUGUAAAGGGUGCGUAGGUGGUAUGGCAAGUCAGAAGUGAAAGGCUGGGGCUUAACCCCGGGACUGCUUUUGAAACUGUCAAACUAGAGUACAGGAGAGGAAAGCGGAAUUCCUAGUGUAGCGGUGAAAUGCGUAGAUAUUAGGAGGAACACCAGUGGCGAAGGCGGCUUUCUGGACUGAAACUGACACUGAGGCACGAAAGCGUGGGGAGCAAACAGG
rnacentral:rRNA from 1 species